rnacentral:rRNA from 1 species
AUUGAACGCUGGCGGCAUGCCUUACACAUGCAAGUCGAACGGCAGCGGACCUUCGGGUGCCGGCGAGUGGCGAACGGGUGAGUAAUAUAUCGGAACGUACCUUUCAGUGGGGGAUAACGUAGCGAAAGUUACGCUAAUACCGCAUAUUCUGUGAGCAGGAAAGCAGGGGAUCGCAAGACCUUGCGCUGAUUGAGCGGCCGAUAUCAGAUUAGCUAGUUGGUGAGGUAAAGGCUCACCAAGGCGACGAUCUGUAGCGGGUCUGAGAGGAUGAUCCGCCACACUGGAACCGAGACACGGUCCAGACUCCUACGGGAGGCAGCAGUGGGGAAUUUUGGACAAUGGGCGCAAGCCUGAUCCAGCCAUGCCGCGUGAGUGAAGAAGGCCUCGG